AGUGAUGUUACAUACAUAAGAUUAGAGAUCUACACAUAUAUCAUGGAUUCUGAAGUUCAAUAUUACAGUAUCUUUAGUUAGUAAUGUUGGAAUUUGUGUAAAUCUUGUUAACAUGACUUGAAGCAAUUCCAACUUUGAAGCAAGAAAUGUUCAUCAUAAGUAUGAGCAGGAUAAAGAUAGACAUACCAAGCGUAGCCAUAACAGCUGCAAAAAUGAUAAUGCCUACUGGUUGCACCCUCAACUUUCCAAU